UACGAAGGGUGCAAGCGUUACUCGGAAUUACUGGGCGUAAAGCGUGCGUAGGUGGUUCGUUAAGUCUGAUGUAAAAGCCCUGGGCUCAACCUGGGAAUGGCAUUGGAUACUGGCGACCUAGAGUGCGGUAGAGGGGUGUGGAAUUCCCGGUGUAGCAGUGAAAUGCGUAGAUAUCGGGAGGAACAUCUGUGGCGAAGGCGACACCCUGGACCAGCACUGACACUGAGGCACGAAAGCGUGGGGAGCAAACAGG
rnacentral:rRNA from 1 species